UCCGGUUUGACACCGGCAGUCUCCCUAGAGUGCCCGGCAUUACCCGCUGGCAACAUUGGACAGGGGUUGCGCUCGUUGCGCCACUUAAGGCAACACCUCACGGCACGAGCUGACGACAGCCAUGCACCACCUGUGCAGGCUCCGAAGAGCACCCGCUUUCACGGGUUUCACCCUGCAUGUCAAGCCCAGGUAAGGUUCUUCGCGUUGCAUCGAAUUAAACCACAUGCUCCACCGCUUGUGCGGGCCCCCGUCAAUUCCUUUGAGUUUCAGCCUUGCGGCCGUACUCCCCAGGCGGAUGACUUCGCGCGUUAGCUGCGUUACUAAGGGAUUUAACUCCCCCAACAACUAGUCAUCAUCGUUUAGGGCGUGGACUAC
rnacentral:misc_RNA from 1 species